AGAACGAACGCUGGCGGCAUGCCUAACACAUGCAAGUCGAACGAGACCUUCGGGUCUAGUGGCGCACGGGUGCGUAACGCGUGGGAAUCUGCCCUUGGGUUCGGAAUAACAGUUAGAAAUGACUGCUAAUACCGAAUAAUGACGUAAGUCCAAAGAUUUAUCGCCCAAGGAUGAGCCCGCGUAGGAUUAGCUUGUUGGUGAGGUAAAGGCUCACCAAGGCGACGAUCCUUAGCUGGUCUGAGAGGAUGAUCAGCCACACUGGGACUGAGACACGGCCCAGACUCCUACGGGAGGCAGCAGUGGGGAAUAUUGGACAAUGGGGGAAACCCUGAUCCAGCAAUGCCGCGUGAGUGAUGAAGGCCUUAGGGUUGUAAAGCUCUUUUGCCAGGGAUGAUAAUGACAGUACCUGGAGAAUAAGCUCCGGCUAACUCCGUGCCAGCAGCCGC
rnacentral:rRNA from 1 species